rnacentral:rRNA from 1 species
UACGUAGGGUGCGAGCGUUGCCCGGAUUUAUUGGGCGUAAAGGGCGCGUAGGCGGCUCGGCACGUCCGUUGUGAAAUCGCCCGGCUCAACUGGGCGGGGUCAGCGGAUACGGUCGAGCUUGAGCAAGCUAGGGGGCAAUGGAAUUCCCGGUGUAGUGGUGGAAUGCGUAGAUAUCGGGAGGAACACCAGUGGCGAAGGCGGUUGCCUGGAGCUUUGCUGACGCUGAUGCGCGAAAGCGUGGGGAGCGAUCCGG